rnacentral:rRNA from 1 species
GAUGAACGCUGGCGGCGUGCUUAACACAUGCAAGUCGAACGGGAUCCAUCAGGCUUUGCUUGGUGGUGAGAGUGGCGAACGGGUGAGUAAUGCGUGACCGACCUGCCCCAUACACCGGAAUAGCUCCUGGAAACGGGUGGUAAUGCCGGAUGCUCCAACUCCUCGCAUGGGGUGUCGGGAAAGAUUUCAUCGGUAUGGGAUGGGGUCGCGUCCUAUCAGGUAGUCGGCGGGGUAACGGCCCACCGAGCCUACGACGGGUAGCCGGCCUGAGAGGGCGACCGGCCACAUUGGGACUGAGAUACGGCCCAGACUCCUACGGGAGGCAGCAGUGGGGAAUAUUGCACAAUGGGCGCAAGCCUGAUGCAGCGACGCCGCGUGCGGGAUGACGGCCUUCGGGUUGUAAACCGCUUUUGAUCGGGAGCAAGCCUUCGGGUGAGUGUACCUUUCGAAUAAGCACCGGCUAACUACGUGCCAGCCGCCGCAGUAA